CUAGCUGUAAACGAUGGAUACUAGGCGUUGAGAGUAUCGACCCUCUCAGUGCCGUAGCUAACGCGUUAAGUAUCCCGCCUGGGGAGUACGCGCGCAAGCGUGAAACUCAAAGGAAUUGACGGGGGCCCGCACAAGCGGUGGAGUAUGUGGUUUAAUUCGAUGCAACGCGAAGAACCUUACCAGGGCUUGACAUGUCCGGAACCCUGCCCAAAGGCGGGGGUGCCUACGGGAACCGGAACACAGGCGGUGC
rnacentral:rRNA from 1 species